UACGUAGGGGGGCAAGCGUUGUCCGGAAUUAUUGGGCGUAAAGAGCGUGUAGGCGGCCAGAUAAGUCCGCUGUGAAAUCUCGAGGCUCAACUUCGAGCUGUCGGUGGAAACUAUCUGGCUAGAGUCCGGAAGAGGAGAAUGGAAUUCUUGGUGUAGCGGUGAAAUGCGCAGAUAUCAGGAAGAACACCAGUGGCGAAGGCGGCUCACUGGCCCGAUACUGACGCUGAGGCACGAAAGCGUGGGGAGCAAACAGG
rnacentral:rRNA from 1 species